rnacentral:rRNA from 1 species
CCCUUAGAUGUCCGGGGCCGCACGCGCGCUACACUGAAGGAAUCAGCGUGGCUUUCUCCCUGACCCGAAAGGGUUGGGAAACCCGUUGAAUCUCCUUCGUGAUAGGGAUUGGGGCUUGAAACUGUUCCCCAUGAACGAGGAAUUCCCAGUAAGCGCGAGUCAUAAGCUCGCGUUGAUUACGUCCCUGCCCUUUGUACACACCGCCCGUCGCUACUACCGAUUGAACGGUUUAGUGAGGGCCUCGGAUUGGUCUCGGCCCGCUCUUUACCGGGCGGCGCCGUUGGUCGAGAAGACGCUCGAACUUGAUCGUUUAGAGGAAGUAAAAGUCGUAACA